AUUGAACGCUGGCGGCAUGCCUUACACAUGCAAGUCGAACGGUAACGGGCCUUCGGGUGCCGACGAGUGGCGAACGGGUGCGUAAUACAUCGGAACGUGCCCGAUCGUGGGGGAUAACGAGGCGAAAGCUUUGCUAAUACCGCAUACGAUCUACGUAUGAAAGCAGGGGACCGCAAGGCCUUGCGCGGACGGAGCGGCCGAUGGCAGAUUAGGUAGUUGGUGGGAUAAAAGCUUGCCAAGCCGACGAUCUGUAGCUGGUCUGAGAGGAUGAUCAGCCACACUGGGACUGAGACACGGCCCAGACUCCUACGGGAGGCAGCAGUGGGGAAUUUUGGACAAUGGGCGCAAGCCUGAUCCAGCCAUGCCGCGUGCAGGAUGAAGGCCUUCGGGUUGUAAACUGCUUUUGUACGGAACGAAAAGCCUUCUUUUAAUACAGGAGGGUCAUGACGGUACCGUAAGAAUAAGCACCGGCUAACUACGUG
rnacentral:rRNA from 1 species